AGUCGAACGAUGAAGCCAGCUUGCUGGUGGAUUAGUGGCGAACGGGUGAGUAACACGUGAGUAACCUGCCCUCCACUUCGGGAUAACUCCGGGAAACCGGUGCUAAUACCGGAUAUGACGCGUCCUCGCAUGGGGGUGUGUGGAAAGAUUUAUCGGUGGGGGAUGGGCUCGCGGCCUAUCAGCUUGUUGGUGGGGUGAUGGCCUACCAAGGCGUCGACGGGUAGCCGGCCUGAGAGGGUGACCGGCCACACUGGGACUGAGACACGGCCCAGACUCCUACGGGAGGCAGCAGUGGGGAAUAUUGCACAAUGGGCGCAAGCCUGAUGCAGCGACGCCGCGUGAGGGAUGACGGCCUUCGGGUUGUAAACCUCUUUCAGUAGGGAAGAAGCUUUCGGGUGACGGUACCUGCAGAAGAAGCGCCGGCUAACUACGUGCCAGCAGCCGCGGUAAUACGUAGGGCGCAAGCGUUGUCCGGAAUUAUUGGGCGUAAAGAGCUCGUAGGCGGUUUGUCGCGUCUGCUGUGAAAACGCGAGGCUUAACCUCGCGCCUGCAGUGGGUACGGGCAGACUAGAGUGCGGUAGGGGAGACUGGAAUUCCUGGUGUAGCGGUGGAAUGCGCAGAUAUCAGGAGGAACACCGGUGGCGAAGGCGGGUCUCUGGGCCGUUACUGACGCUGAGGAGCGAAAGCAUGGGGAGCGAACAGGAUUAGAUACCCUGGUAGUCCAUGCCGUAAACGUUGGGCACUAGGUGUGGGGACUGUUUCCACGGUUUCCGCGCCGCAGCUAACGCAUUAAGUGCCCCGCCUGGGGAGUACGGCCGCAAGGCUAAAACUCAAAGGAAUUGACGGGGGCCCGCACAAGCGGCGGAGCAUGCGGAUUAAUUCGAUGCAACGCGAAGAACCUUACCAAGGCUUGACAUACACCGGAAACAUCCAGAGAUGGGUGCCCCGUAAGGUCGGUGUACAGGUGGUGCAUGGUUGUCGUCAGCUCGUGUCGUGAGAUGUUGGGUUAAGUCCCGCAACGAGCGCAACCCUUGUCCUGUGUUGCCAGCGGGUUAUGCCGGGGACUCAUGGGAGACUGCCGGGGUCAACUCGGAGGAAGGUGGGGAUGACGUCAAAUCAUCAUGCCCCUUAUGUCUUGGGCUUCACGCAUGCUACAAUGGCCGGUACAAAGGGUUGCGAUGCCGUGAGGUGGAGCGAAUCCCAAAAAGCCGGUCUCAGUUCGGAUUGGGGUCUGCAACUCGACCCCAUGAAGUCGGAGUCGCUAGUAAUCGCAGAUCAGCAACGCUGCGGUGAAUACGUUCUCGGGCCUUGUACACACCGCCCGUCACGUCACGAAAGUCGGUAACACCCGAAGCCGGUGGCCCAACCCUUGUGGGG
rnacentral:rRNA from 1 species